UGACACUUACCUCUGUUUCCUGAGUCUUUCUCUGCAGUUGGAUAUCCUCCCUGAGCCUGGUGAUAAAUCAAAACUGUUGAAGUGGUGGUCAGUGUGAGCGCAAGCGGAGUUACCACAUCCGGCUCCAUUAGCGUUAGCUGCACAGUGACGUCAAUGGGCUGGAGGCUGUACAGAGACACACAGCGCAGGACACAACUCUCAGGACAGAGGUGCACGAGGGGUACCGAUAUCGCUUCACUGUGACCAGGAGGGAGCUGGUCGCGGGAGAACCGCCAGUGGAGCUGUGCACGGACGUAGACGUACCGCUGAUAUGCGAGUACACAGAUUGGGACGCGACCCACCUCUCCGUGCGAAGCGACAGUGUCAUGGUCAGAGAGUAUGGUUAGUCUGAAACAGAAAAUAAACACGCGUAUGUGGAUCCACCCCCAUAUUGCUGUGCAGAACUCUCAACCAUUCACUGGAAAGUAACCUUCCAUAACCUGUAAAUUAGUUCAUACGUUGUGGAUAAUGGUGGACUAUUGUGGACCCAGCUGCUAAAAUCUAAAAAGUCAUGACUUUUCCAGACUUACUAAUCAACCAAUACAGUGUAAGCUGUUCACUUCUCUUUUACCCAUGAUUCAUCCACUGGCGGGAAAAUGAUUACUGCAAGUAAGAGGAAAUCAAUAUCAAGUGUGAGACUGCGCUGACCAUGGUACAGAACAGGAAAAAUUUAGAUGUGCCCACUGGAUAUGAAUCUGACUUUAAAUCACAACAAAUGAUCUUCAGCACUAUAGUUUUAUGAAAGCCAACAUGAACUUUAAUAAAGAUUAUUGGCAUUUUCAA